rnacentral:lncRNA from 10 species
AUCUAUAAAUCUUUGUCAACAUUUUUUCUCCUUAGAAACAGAGACCUAGGCCAGGCGUGGCGGCUCACGCCUAUAAUCCCAGCACUUUGGGAGGACAAGGUGGGAGGAUCACUUGAGGUCAGGAAUUUGAGACCAGCCUGGCCAACACAGCGAAACCCAGUCUCAGCUGGGCGUGGUGGUGUGUGUACCUGUAAUCCCAUCUACUUGGGAGGCUGAGGCAGGAGAAUCGCUUGAACCCGGGAGGCAGAGGUUCCAGUGAGCCAAGGUCUCCCCACUGCAAUCCAGCCUGUGCGACAGAGUGAAACUCCAUUUAAAAAGAACAAAAACAAAAAACAAAACAAAAAGGAAACAGAGACCUAGAAGUGGUAUUACAGCAAAGGUUUUGAACAUUUUAAGGCUUUUGAGCGCCAGAUUCAGACACUCAGUAGUUUUACAUGAGAGUGCUACAACAUCCUCACUAAGUAGUAUUUGGGUUCAUCAUAAUUUUAAAUUAUUUUGGUGUGUCAAUUUGAACACUAGAGUGAUAUAAAAACUAAAAACUUGAAUUCAAUAAUUUUACAAUUGUAUUCCAUCUUAAAAUAUUUUAUGGUAAACUUGGAUAAAGUAUAUAAAUAAUCCAAGGGUGUAAAGUAGAAAGUGAAAGCUCCCUUCUCCCAGUUCCAGCCCCCUGAUGUUGCCAAUAUUAAACGUUGUAUAUCCUUGCA